rnacentral:lncRNA from 1 species
AUGUGGCCCAAGCUCAGUCCUUCCCGGCCUCAAAGAGGGCCAGCCAGCUCCACACUGGGGGCCUGGAAACAACUGACCGCCCCCGCAGCACUCCGAGGCGCAGCACUCCCCGCCCCCCGCUGGGCCGGGAGCCUCGCAGGAUUGCAGGACUGCAAUCAUUGGGCCGGUGACCCCACUGGCCAGCUACCCGUGCCUGGGACAUCUGUCUGCGCUCUGGCUUCUGCUGCUGGAGGGAAGCCCACGCGUGAUGGACGGAGGGAGGCAGCCCUGACUUGGCAGAUUUCUUUGGGCAGGCAGAUGUAUAUGCCAGGACACACAUAACAACGUUUCAUAAAGGACACCUAGUACCUCCAGACAAGUCGGUCUCCAAGGACUGUGGAUCACCAUCCGAACAGCCGACAAACAGAGACAUGGGCAAGAGACAAGCCUUAAUGUACAGAUACAAGUGGAAGCAAGCACAAUUCCAUGUUUGUGUUAACCUAAGCCUCCAACAGCAAACCAGAACCUCUUGGUAGUUACCAAUUUUGAGAUCCACCUUGACACCAACCCUGCCAUUGGAGUUACAAGAUUCUCUUUGGGGGAAGCCAUCCAUCUCUUCCCAUGGCACUCAGGGACUGUUGGUAAGGUGUUCCCCUGUAACCCCCACCCCCCCACCAGGAAUCUCAGCCGUGGCACCAGCACCCCCAAGGAGUAUCAAUGGUCUGAGAUGCUCCCUCAUAUCUCGUCAUCAGUGGCACAUACCUUGGUGGAUUUGGAUUUAUGGAGGACGCGAGCCUGAGUCCACUGGCCCAGGUGCUGAAAGCAACCCAGAGAACUGGCGGUUCCCGAGUUACCCGAGCCAUCUUCCUCAGUCGACUGAGCCUCCCCACUGCCGAAGCUGGAUACAACCUAA